rnacentral:snRNA from 1 species
GGAUGUGAGGGAGAUCUGGAUGUAACAUCUGUCACCCCAUUGAUCACCAGGGUUGAUUCCGAUGAUCUGGCUGGCUAGGCCUGUGUCAUCAUCCUCCCUCACCACUCCAUGUGAGUGACUCAGGAAGCUGUGUGCUCAAUUGACCUUCCAGGAAUAGAGGAGCACCAGUCUUUGGGGUCUUUGCUCAAGGGUAUAGGAGUAGCUGCGCUCCCCUGAUAAAAUCCUUCAAACAAGCUCAAGUUUUGACAAUUUUUAAUAAUCUCAUUUGCUAUUAAAUAUCACCUUUUUAGAAGUAUCUAUUUAA